CCUACGGGUGGCAGCAGUGAGGAAUAUUGGUCACUGGACGAGAGUCUGAACCAGCCAAGUAGCGUGAAGGAUGACUGCCCUAUGGGUUGUAAACUUCUUUUAUAUGGGAAUAAAAUGUUCCACGUGUGGGAUUUUGUAUGUACCAUAUGAAUAAGGAUCGGCUAACUCCGUGCCAGCAGCCGCGGUAAUACGGAGGAUCCGAGCGUUAUCCGGAUUUAUUGGGUUUAAAGGGAGCGUAGGUGGAUUGUUAAGUCAGUUGUGAAAGUUUGCGGCUCAACCGUAAAAUUGCAGUUGAUACUGGCAGUCUUGAGUACAGUAGAGGUGGGCGGAAUUCGUGGUGUAGCGGUGAAAUGCUUAGAUAUCACGAAGAACUCCGAUUGCGAAGGCAGUUCACUGGACUGCAACUGACACUGAGGCUCGAAAGUGUGGGUAUCAAACAGGAUUAGAUACCCGAGUAGUC
rnacentral:rRNA from 1 species